rnacentral:lncRNA from 1 species
UCUGUAUGUAGAGCCUAUUUCCUAUGCUUUCGAAAGUACGGAAGUGUUCGUAUUUAUAAAUUAUUUUUGAUGAUAGAACAUCCGAUUUUAUAUUAUAUAGAAUUAGGCUGGAAUGUUUUUAAUAGCACCAAGUCAUUGGUGCUAUUAAGUUUUUCCGUCUUUGAACGAAAAUAUGUGCGAUUGGAAUCGAUGACGGUGAUUUUUUAGAAUUAAGUGGGUGGUUGAUUAAAUAAUAAGAUCUAAUAAAUAAAAAUAAUUAAAAGAACAAAUCUAAUAGUA